rnacentral:tRNA from 2 species
GUCCAGCUAGCUCAGUCGGUAGAGCAUGAGACUCUUAAUCUCAGGGUCGUGGGUUCAUGCCCCACGUUGGGCG